AAAAUAAUUAACUUAUUAUUUUAAAUAAAUAAAAACAGUUAUCAAAUUAGAAAAUCCCCCUCAUUCUCCUUCUCAUGCUACAAUCCCCCUCACGAUAACUGUCUCUCUCCCUCUUCUACAUUUCGUCUCCUUCCCGUAACCCAGCCUAUUACCGUCGAUUUUAGCCAUCACUCCAACGAACGACCCUCCUUUGCACUGAUUUUGUCUCUUUCCUGUAACCCAUCACUCCUCUGCAUCGCACCUCCAAUGCGCGAUCGAUUGCGAGCACCAUUGGUUCGGCUUCCAUGUGCACCCAUCACUGCCAAUCUCACCAUCUCCGUCUAAUAUUUCUCUUUCAGAUCACUCAUUGUGUGGUUCUAUCUUACCGCCGCCCAAUUUUAGACCUGCCGUCGACAUCAUCGCUUUCCAGAAUCGGCGUUUUGGGUAAGUUUUUGGUGUCUUGUAUGGGUUUUCUUGGUGAAUCUUAAAUACCUACUGGAUCAACACCAGAUGCCAUUGGAUCCAUGCUAGACGCCCACUGGUCAACCACCAUAUAGCGCCCACCGGUCAGUCCUCCACCGGAUCUGCACCAGUCACCCAGCCUUGCCUCACACCAAAUCUGGCCAGUCCUCACGUCGGAUUCGGUUAGUCCUCCACCAGAUCCGGUCAGUCCUACACCGGAUUUGCUGUACAGUCGUGCUGCCUCUGUCAAGUAAGAGCUUCUUAUAUUUUAUGAGUAUUCUUGUGCCUCUUUUAUUUUUCUUUUUAGGCUAGUUGGUCGAGGCUUGAGUGAAGCGUCGAUUUGAGCAAACACUUCAGGUAAGUGUUUUAGAUGUAUUGGAAUGAAUCUGUGAUUUGGGUUACAUUUUGUAGCAUCUUUUGUAAUGAUUUGCUUGUUUGAAUGUUUGAUGAUGAUAUUGAUUUUGAAGUGUUGGAAGGAGUUGAGUUGCUGUCCAAUAGGUUUGAGAUCGAUCUUGGCAAGGUUUUGAUUUUAAGGGAUUGGAGCCACUGUCCAACAAAGUUAACAAUGUUUGGAUGUUUUGAUAGGUUGGAUUACUUUGUUGUAGUUUUGAAGUGACAUUCGAAUCAAGCCACACUUUGGGUAACCUAUUUGGAGUUAAUCGGUUAUUUUGGUGAAUGAAAUUUUGAAGAAUUGGGCUUCUAAUAUUCUGUAGUUUUUAAUGAAAUUUUGUAGAUAAGAUUGGAUUACUUUGUUGUAGUUUUGAAUAAAAUUUUGUAGAUAAGAUUGAGCUUUCCAUAUUCUCUAUUUUUUAUUGCUUGUAGAUAAGAUAAGUUGUGAAAGUUGUGAAAGUUGCGCGAAAGGUAUCUGCAUUCUUAUAUUUUAAAUUUUAGCAUAUGCUUGAUUUUUUGAUAAUCUUCUUCCUCUUUAUUAUAUUUUCUAAAAUCUCUCCCAUCUUCCUUUGUUUUGCAACAAAAGGUAAUUGUUCCUCCUGAGGCUGGAUAUGGUCAAAAGAGAAUGAAUGAAAUCCCAGUAAGUCACUAACUUUAAUUUGUAGAUAUUUUUUAACUCUCGAGUAUGAUAUUUUUCCAUUGCAUAAACUAAGCCAAUCAUGUACAUUUUUUUCUUGUGCGUGACUUUUUGUCAUUAUUGUAUCUUAACACUUAUUUUUAUAUUUUGAAAUUUGAUGUUAUCACCCUUUAUUUUAUUUUGUAGUUUGACUUGCUUAAACAUGAUAUGUCUGGCCCUUAGUUAUCGAUUUUUAGACUUCAAAGCUCAAUGUAUAGAUUAAAUAAUGUACCUUGUUGAGAGGUUACUUUUAAACAAUUUGUCACUUUUGCAUUUGUUAAAAGUUGAGU